rnacentral:tRNA from 1 species
GCCAACAUGGCAUAGUGGUUUGAGCAUUGGACUAUGACUGUGGAGACCAGGGUUCAAUUCCUGCUUGGCA